ensembl:snRNA U2 U2 spliceosomal RNA
AUCACUUCUCGGCCUUUUGGCUAAGAUCAUGUGUAGUAUCUGUUCUUAUCAGUUUAAUAUCUGAUACGUCCUCUAUCUGAGGACAAUAUAUUAAAUGGAUUUUUGGAGCUGGGAGGUGGAAUAGGAGCUUUCUCCGUCUACUCCAUGCAUUGACCUGGUAUUGCAGUACCUCCAGGAACAGUGCACCAAAA